GGGGUUGUGGCUCAGUGGUAGAGCACUGGCCUAGCAUGCCUGAGGCACUAGGUUCGAUCCUCAGCACCA
rnacentral:tRNA from 1 species